AGCGAACGCUGGCGGCAGGCCUAACACAUGCAAGUCGAACGAAGUCUUCGGACUUAGUGGCGGACGGGUGAGUAACACGUGGGAACGUGCCUUUAGGUUCGGAAUAACUCAGGGAAACUUGUGCUAAUACCGAAUGUGCCCUUCGGGGGAAAGAUUUAUCUCCUUUAGAGCGGCCCGCGUCUGAUUAGCUAGUUGGUGAGGUAAAGGCUCACCAAGGCGACGAUCAGUAGCUGGUCUGAGAGGAUGAUCAGCCACAUUGGGACUGAGACACGGCCCAAACUCCUACGGGAGGCAGCAGUGGGGAAUCUUGCGCAAUGGGCGAAAGCCUGACGCAGCCAUGCCGCGUGAAUGAUGAAGGUCUUAGGAUUGUAAAAUUCUUUCACCGGGGACGAUAAUGACGGUACCCGGAGAAGAAGCCCCGGCUAACUUCGUGCCAGCAGCCGCAGUAA
rnacentral:rRNA from 1 species